CCUACGGGAGGCUGCAGUGAGGAAUAUUGGUCAAUGGACGCAAGUCUGAACCAGCCAUGCCGCGUGCAGGAAGACGGCUUUCGGGUUGUAAACUUCUUUUAAGAGGGAAGAGCAGAAGACGGUACCUCUUGAAUAAGACACGGCUAACUACGGGCCAGCAGCCGCGGUAAUACGUAGGUGGCAAGCGUUGUCCGGAUUUACUGGGUGUAAAGGGCGUGUAGCCGGGCUGACAAGUCAGAUGUGAAAUUCCGGGGCUCAACCCCGGACCUGCAUUUGAAACUGUUGGUCUUGAGUAUAGGAGAGGCAGGCGGAAUUCCUGGUGUAGCGGUGAAAUGCGUAGAUAUUAGGAGGAACACCAGUGGCGAAGGCGGCCUGCUGGACGACAACUGACGGUGAGGCGCGAAAGCGUGGGGAGCAAACAGGAUUAGAUACCCGGGUAGUC
rnacentral:rRNA from 1 species